AACAGUAGAACCUGAAUAGGAAUUUGAAGUUGUCUAUACUCUCCUCAGCCACACCCUGCCAUUUUACAGAUUGUCUUCUCUGGGGAAGUUAGCUGUCAUGUUGUGAGGAUACUCAAGCAGUUUAUAAAGAGGUUCAUGUCGCAAGGAAUGGAGGCCUCCUGCCAACAGCCAUGUAAAGGAGCCAUCUAGGAAAUAGAUUCUCCAGCCCCAGUCAGACCUUCAGAUGAUUACAGCCCCUACCAACCUUCUGACUGCGGUGGAAGGAAGGUUCCGGAACCAGAACCACCCAGGUAAGAUAAUCCUAGAUUCCUGACUUAGAGAAACUCUGAGAUAAUAUUUGUUGUUUAAAGCCACAGCUUUGUGGGACAAUGUGUUAAACAUAACUAAUACAUGUGAUUAGGGAAGCUCUUAAUAAGAGGCUAACAGUUGAGCAGAGACCGGAAUGAAAAAGGGGAAUGAGCCAGGUAAAUAUAUGUAUGAAGAAUGCUUGAAGUAGAGGGGAUAGAACUGGUAUAGGUCCUGUGGUUAGAACAAGCUUCAUAUUUUUCAAGGGAAAUUGCAGGACUUGGAAAUGGGCAAGAGAUACCUAAGUAUCCAUUC
ensembl:lncRNA DIRC3 disrupted in renal carcinoma 3